GUGCUCGCUUUGGCAGCACAUAUACUAAAAUUGGAAUGAUACGGAGAAGAUUAGCAUGGCCCUUGCACAAGGAUGACGUGCAAAUUCAUGAAGCCUUACAUAUUUUU
rnacentral:snRNA from 1 species